AUGAACGCUAGCGACAGGCUUAACACAUGCAAGUCGAGGGGCAGCGGGGGUAGCAAUACCCGCCGGCGACCGGCGCACGGGUGAGUAACGCGUAUGCAACUUGCCUAUCAGAGGGGGAUAACCCGGCGAAAGUCGGACUAAUACCGCAUAAAGCAGGGGCCCCGCAUGGGGAUAUUUGCUAAAGAUUCAUCGCUGAUAGAUAGGCAUGCGUUCCAUUAGGCAGUUGGCGGGGUAACGGCCCACCAAACCGACGAUGGAUAGGGGUUCUGAGAGGAAGGUCCCCCACAUUGGUACUGAGACACGGACCAAACUCCUACGGGAGGCAGCAGUGAGGAAUAUUGGUCAAUGGGCGUAAGCCUGAACCAGCCAAGUCGCGUGAGGGAUGAAGGUUCUAUGGAUCGUAAACCUCUUUUAUAAGGGAAUAAAGUGCGGGACGUGUCCCGUUUUGUAUGUACCUUAUGAAUAAGGAUCGGCUAACUCCGUGCCAGCAGCCGCGGUAAUACGGAGGAUCCGAGCGUUAUCCGGAUUUAUUGGGUUUAAAGGGUGCGUAGGCGGCCUUUUAAGUCAGCGGUGAAAGUCUGUGGCUCAACCAUAGAAUUGCCGUUGAAACUGGGGGGCUUGAGUAUGUUUGAGGCAGGCGGAAUGCGUGGUGUAGCGGUGAAAUGCUUAGAUAUCACGCAGAACCCCGAUUGCGAAGGCAGCCUGCCAAGCCAUGACUGACGCUGAUGCACGAAAGCGUGGGGAUCAAACAGGAUUAGAUACCCUGGUAGUCCACGCAGUAAACGAUGAUCACUAGCUGUUUGCGAUACAGUGUAAGCGGCACAGCGAAAGCGUUAAGUGAUCCACCUUGGGAGUACGCCGGCAACGGUGAAACUCAAAGGAAUUGACGGGGGCCCGCACAAGCGGAGGAACAUGUGGUUUAAUUCGAUGAUACGCGAGGAACCUUACCCGGGUUUGAACGCAUUCGGACCGAGGUGGAAACACCUUUUCUAGCAAUAGCCGUUUGCGAGGUGCUGCAUGGUUGUCGUCAGCUCGUGCCGUGAGGUGUCGGCUUAAGUGCCAUAACGAGCGCAACCCUUGCCACUAGUUACUAACAGGUAAAGCUGAGGACUCUGGUGGGACUGCCAGCGUAAGCUGCGAGGAAGGCGGGGAUGACGUCAAAUCAGCACGGCCCUUACAUCCGGGGCGACACACGUGUUACAAUGGCGUGGACAAAGGGAAGCCACCUGGCGACAGGGAGCGAAUCCCCAAACCACGUCUCAGUUCGGAUCGGAGUCUGCAACCCGACUCCGUGAAGCUGGAUUCGCUAGUAAUCGCGCAUCAGCCAUGGCGCGGUGAAUACGUUCCCGGGCCUUGUACACACCGCCCGUCAAGCCAUGGGAGCCGGGGGUACCUGAAGUCCGUAACCGCGAGGAUCGGCCUAGGGUAAAACUGGUGACUGGGGCU
rnacentral:rRNA from 1 species